GGAGAGGUAGCUCAGAGGCCAGAGUGCGUCUUUCAAUGACGAGGUCGGGAGUUCGACUCUUCCCCUCUCCACCA
rnacentral:tRNA from 3 species